rnacentral:misc_RNA from 1 species
AAACAACCUGUUAGGUCCCAUAUUAGCUGAGUAUUGAGUAAAAAUGUUUACUAUAUGACUUGGCCAAGGCCAAUCCUUAUCCGGUGUGUUGGAUUUAGGUCCGAUUCAUUUCCGCAUUGAGGAAAAAUCUAACACAAGGUGCCCUUUUAGUGUCAACACACAACCCACAGAAAAGGAAAACACUGCCAUGGUCGCUGACUCCACUGACCGUAAAGAGGUUGUUCUCAAAAUGGACGG